rnacentral:rRNA from 1 species
UACGUAGGUGGCAAGCGUUGUCCGGAUUUACUGGGCGUAAAGAGCGCGCAGGCGGUCGUUCAAGUCGCGUGUGAAAGCCCCCGGCUCAACUGGGAGGGUCACGCGAUACUGAUCGACUCGAAGGCAGGAGAGGGUAGUGGAAUUCCCGGUGUAGUGGUGAAAUGCGUAGAUAUCGGGAGGAACACCAGUGGCGAAGGCGGCGACCUGGGCCAAUAGUUGACGCAGAGGUGCGAAAGCGUGGGAG